rnacentral:rRNA from 1 species
GACGUAGGGCGCGAGCGUUGUCCGGAUUUAUUGGGCGUAAAGAGCUCGUAGGCGGCUUGUCGCGUCGACUGUGAAAACCCGCGGCUCAACUGCGGGCCUGCAGCCGAUACGGGCAGGCUAGAGUUCGGUAGGGGAGACUGGAAUUCCUGGUGUAGCGGUGAAAUGCGUAGAUAUCUGGAGGAACACCGGUGGCGAAGGCGGCAUCCUGGACCGGUAUUGACACUGAGGCGCGAAAGCCAGGGGAGCAAACGGG